GAUGAACGCUGGCGGCGUGCCUAAUACAUGCAAGUCGAGCGAACAGAUAAGGAGCUUGCUCCUUUGACGUUAGCGGCGGACGGGUGAGUAACACGUGGGUAACCUACCUAUAAGACUGGGAUAACUUCGGGAAACCGGAGCUAAUACCGGAUAACAUUUUGAACCGCAUGGUUCUAUAGUGAAAGAUGGUUUUGCUAUCACUUAUAGAUGGACCCGCGCCGUAUUAGCUAGUUGGUAAGGUAACGGCUUACCAAGGCAACGAUGCGUAGCCGACCUGAGAGGGUGAUCGGCCACACGGGAACUGAGACACGGACCAGACACCUACGGGAGGAAGCAGUAGGGAAUGUUACGCAAUGGGCGAAAGCAUGACGGAGCAAGGCCGAGUGAGUGAUGAAGGGUUUCGGAUCGUAAAACUCUGUUAUUAGGGAAGAAAAAAAGUGUAAGUAAAUGUGCACGUAUUGACGGUACCUAAUCAGAAAGCAACGGCUAACUACGUG
rnacentral:rRNA from 1 species